rnacentral:rRNA from 1 species
AUAACUUACCCUUAGGACUGGGAUAACCCUGGGAAACUGGGGAUAAUACUAGAUAGGCAAUUUUUCCUGGAAUGGUUUUUUGUUUAAAUGUUUUUUCGCCUAAGGAUGGGUCUGCGGCCGAUUAGGUAGUUGGUUAGGUAACGGCUUACCAAGCCAUUGAUCGGUACGGGUUGUGAGAGCAAGAGCCCGGAGAUGGAACCUGAGACAAGGUUCCAGGCCCUACGGGGUGCAGCAGGCGCGAAACCUCCGCAAUGUGAGAAAUCGCGACGGGGGGAUCCCAAGUGCCAUUCUUAACGGGAUGGCUUUUCAUUAGUGUAAAGAGCUUUUGGAAUAAGGGCUGGGCAAGACCGGUGCCAGCCGCCGCGGUAACACCGGCAGCUCUAGUGGUAGCAGUUUUUAUUGGGCCUAAAGCGUCCGUAGCCGGUUUAAUAAGUCUCUGGUGAAAUCCUGUAGCUUAACUGUGGGAAUUGCUGGAGAUACUAUUAGACUUGAGACCGGGAGAGGUUAGAGGUACUCCCAGGGUAGAGGUGAAAUUCUGUAAUCCUGGGAGGACCGCCUGUUGCGAAGGCGUCUAACUGGAACGGUUCUGACGGUGAGGGACGAAAGUUAGGGGCGCGAACCGGAUUAGAUACCCGGGUAGUCCUAACUGUAAACGAUGCGGACUUGGUGUUGGGGUGGCUUUGAGCUGCUCCAGUGCCGAAGGGAAGCUGUUAAGUCCGCCGCCUGGGAAGUACGGUCGCAAGACUGAAACUUAA